AUAUGCACUGCUCAAACAAAUGAAAGGAAUACUUGAUCAUUGGAUUCUGGCACAAAGUCUUUAGGGAUGUUGAUCUGUCCAAUCAGGAAGCAGAAACUGUUGUGAAUGCAUUUGACCUGCUUAGGUGCAAAUGAAAGAGGCAUAAGGUGCACUGGAGGAGUAACAACAACUAUUUCUAUGUCACUGCUCAUAGUAAGAGAAGGUACCUGCAGUCUAUUCAGAGUGCACAGCUCUAACCCAGCAGCAGGACUGUCAUGUAAGGAGAAGCGCUGCCAGAGCUCAUAUACUCAUCGUGUCCCAGGCAGAGGAUGACUUUGGUUUCCUCUGAUUCCAUUUCCAUUGUUACAUUUUUUCCACAUUAAACUGCACGAUGUGCUUUACCAGUUCAGAUUCUCAAGUUAAAAUCUCAUUCAUUGAGAUCUGAUGUGUGACUCAAGUAUUCCCUUUAUUUUUUUAGCAGUGUAGUUUGGCACUGUUCACGUUUCAAAGUCGUUCUAUGUUUAGGGUUAAGUGAACUUCUCAGCUCUUACGAGUGGAAAAGAGGAAAAGAGGAAGACCUCAGAGGAGAUUGAUGGAUGAUAGUGAAGGAGGGCAUAAGGAUGGAUGGUGUGGCAGAAACUAAAAGCUGUAUCAUUUGUGUCCACAGAUGUUCAGUUGUUACAUCUUUCUUGGCAGGCUGUGCUGUUAGCUGACAUCCUACCAACACUCUUCAUCAAACUGUUUGCUCCCUUCGUGAUCCACAAAAUGCCUUAUGGUGUUCGAGUGCUGUUCUGUGCUAUCAUGGCAGCAACGAGUUUCCUCCUGGUGUCCUUCUCCUCAGCUGUGUGGAUGAGUAUUCUCGGAGUGAUCUUUGCCAGUAUCAGCUCAGGACUGGGAGAGUUGUCCUUCCUCUCUCUAACAGUAUUUUUCAGCAGCUAUUUCUUCCUGCUGGUUUGUCCACCUUCAUUACCUCAGUGGAGGACCAAGGAGACUGAGUAUGCAGCUUUGGUCUCUGAGGACAGACAGCAACUUCUGGACAGUUCAGACGAGGAGGAGCCCGAGAGCUCCACCACAGAAGACCAACCCACCGGGCCUCUCAGUUUCAGAGAGAGACUGUUUGUUAUCAGAGGCUUGUGGAGGUUUGUGCUUCCACUGGGAGUGGUCUACUUAACCGAGUAUUUCAUCAACCAGGGUUUGAUGGAACUCCUGUUCUUCCACAAUAUCUUCCUGACCCAUGCAGCUCAGUAUCGCUGGUAUCAGACUCUGUACCAGCUUGGUGUACUGCUCUCUCGAUCCUCUCUGCGCUGUGUGAAGAUCAGGAAAGUGUGGAUUCUCAGUGUUCUGCAGGCAUCCCUUCCCUUCCUGUUGGCACCACAAAGUGUAUUACAGGCUAUCUGAGGAUACGUCUCCAUACAGGUACUCCGAGGCAUGAUGGAAAUUCUCAGCUGUUGAAGGGUUUCUGGAUUGGGCAGUGGUACUGCAUGGACACAGGAAAACCAGUCAUCCAACAAUCAGAUGAUGGACCAAAGGUUUCAUCCCUGUCAGGCAGAGCCACUGGCGCAACAUCUUUCGAAAAGGCAAUCGGUCUCUUCAGCUUGAUCAGAG